rnacentral:rRNA from 1 species
UACGUAGGGUGCGAGCGUUAAUCGGAAUUACUGGGCGUAAAGCGUGCGCAGGCGGUUCGUUGUGUCGGCGGUGAAAGCCCGGGCUUAACCUGGGAAUGGCCGUCGAAACUGGCGAACUGGAGUGUGGCAGAGGGGGUGGAAUCCGCGUGUAGCAGUGAAAUGCGUAGAGAUGCGGAGGAACACCGAUGGCGAAGGCAGCCCCUGGCUGACACUGACGCUCAGGCACGAAGCGUGGGAGCAACAGG